AAACAAAUAAAAAUAAAUUGACACAUGCCUGGAAGGAAGAGGUGAGCUUCAUUUUGACAAUAUUUCUUAUGUUUUAUGUGAUAUAUUAGGGCCCAAACAUCCUUUCAAAGACGUUACUUUUGUCGAUACUUGCAUCGUCUGCCAUGCCGACUUUAUUCACACCAAAGCAGGACAUAGAAAGA